GAAUAGAGAAAGAGAGAAAGAGAGAGAGAGAGAGAGAGAGAGAGAGAGAGAGAGCUGUUGGUGGUGUUGUGCCUGCUUCUUUAAAUGCAUGAUCUAAUGCUUUAACAUAUUUCUUUCUUUUUCAAGUCAUUGUUGUGAUUUACAGGGAGACUGGUACAAUGAAUGCAACGAUAAAUUGACCAUCGUGCAGACAUCUACUGGUAUGCUUUUGGGAAACUACAUAAUGGAUGUCGAGUUGUUUACUAGCAUGGCAGAUGACUGCAUCCAGGAAUGUUUCGUAUAGCACCGAGCAACAAGGAGUUUUCAGUGAGUGUAACUGCUGUUAGAGUUUGGUUGGAUCUGCACUUGCGGAGGUUCUUGUUUGUAUAUAUCUACAGCCAA